CAGUGCUGCCACCGGGUUGUGAACGACCAUGGAGCUCGGCUUUCGGCUGAUCCUGGGGAAGUCACAAGAAGUGGUAGCGCUGCUGCUGCCCGAUGACGUGAGACCGGGCCUCAUCCACAGCAGUCUCCGGUGGGAGUCAGUGAUGAGCUACGAAUCGACCAAACUGAAAUCGUGCACAAAGCAUCGUGCCUAAGCCAGCUGACGGGCUGUUGCAACUAGAGAUCUCUAACUGUGUCUGGAUUCUAAUAGAACUUGGACCUUCUAUGAACCAGUAAUCCCAGGAGCUGGCACAUCCGGGUAGCAAACAUCUGUCUGAUAACUGCUCAUCCCAAUACCUCAUUGUCUUUAUAUCAAGAGUAGCAACAAACUUUCAGAACCAUAGCAACGAAGAGGGGCCUGUAUCCAGGGCAAAGACUCGAGAAGGCAGCUGUCAAUUUCCAUAUUCUGAAUGUUCCCAUCAUGGCUGAUUCCAAGCUACCAGUGAGUCCUCCCUGAACGUGAGUUGGGAAGAGAAAAACCUUUACCAGCCUUCUUUUGGUCAAGACAGAAGGUCAAAUUGGAAUAGAUCUAUUCUCCAAAGAUUGUUUGUUCUGCAAAGCUAGGUACCUUUCAAUUAUACUGAGAGAAGGCAAGAAGAACUAGGAUCCUGACAGAAGUGUAUACCCGGAUUUUCUUUCCUUUUUUG